UACGUAGGCAGCGAGCGUUGUUCGGAGUUACUGGGCGUAAAGAGUGCGUAGGCGGUUUUCUAAGUUUGGUGUGAAAUCUCCCGGCUUAACUGGGAGGGUGCGCCGAAGACUGGAAGGCUUGAGUAUGGGAGAGGUAAGCGGAAUUCCUGGUGUAGCGGUGAAAUGCGUAGAUAUCAGGAGGAACACCUGCGGUGUAGACGGCUUACUGGACCAUAACUGACGCUGAGACACGAAAGCGUGGGUAGCAAACAGG
rnacentral:rRNA from 1 species